CGGUAAUUAAUGUGACCCUGUAGCAGAAGCUGGCUUCUCCCAGUGAGCCCCAUGGGAGAGAUACCAGAUUGACAGGUGAAUCUAUAACCUUAUUAUGAAAAUGAGAGGGGGCGGUUCCAAGAUGGCCGAAUAGGAACAGCUCCAGUCUACAGCUCCCAGCAUGAGUGAUGCAGAAGACAGGAAACCUCUCCUUGUUGAGGAUGCAGACAGAUCCAUCCCACUGCCGAGCUCUGGCUACCCUUUCCAGGACAGGAUUGUACUCCUGCGACACCAGUCUCCAGAGGCCUGGUGAUAUUCAAGGUCUUCAUCCCUCUCGGGCACGCCUAACUAACACUCACCUCUUGGAUGAGAUGAUGUCCUCGUGCUGCCCUUCUGCCGACCCUUCCCUGCAAUCGGCCCUGACCUCUCAGAAUGCAGCUUGCCCCAGACUGAUAUAGCUCAUCCCUCAUUGGGUGCAUCUGUGCCCAGCUACCCUGGUUCUGAUGAAGUAAAUAGGACACAUAUGUCACCGUGGAGCCUCAUGAGUCUCUUUAGAUAAAGAUAAAUUUGGAAAAUUGCAAAACUCUCCAGAGACAAUACCUUCCUAAUGAUUUCUGCCUUCUUUGACACCUCAUUGCACUGAUUAAUGGUCAUUCAAAUUGAUCACCUGGCAUAGCUCACUGUCAAAAUAAAAAAGGACAUAUUUUAAAAAGUCAG
rnacentral:lncRNA from 10 species